rnacentral:rRNA from 1 species
UCAAGCUACAAAGGGCGCAUGGUGAAUGCCUUGGCAUCAGGAGCCGAUGAAGGACGUGAUAAGCUGCGAUAAGCUUCGGGUAGGCGCACAUAGCCUGAGAUCCGAAGAUUUCCGAAUGAGGAAACUCACAUGGGAAACCCCAUGUAUCAUUAAGUGAAUACAUAGCUUAAUGAAGGUAACCCAGGGAACUGAAACAUCUAAGUACCUGGAGGAAGAGAAAGAAAAAUCGAUUUUCUUAGUAGCGGCGAGCGAAAGGGAAAGAGCCCAAACCGGAAACUUGUUUCCGGGGUUGUGGACAUAACAUAAAAGUGGAGGCUAUUGUAACUGAAGAGAACUGGAAAGUUCCACCGUAGAAGGUAAUAGUCCUGUAAGUGAAACGAGAAGACCACGAGUUAUGAUCCAGAGUACCACGAGACACGUGAAACCUUGUGGGAAGCAGGGAGGACCACCUCCCAAGGCUAAAUACUACCUGAUGACCGAUAGUGAAGCAGUACCGUGAGGGAAAGGUGAAAAGAACCCCGGGAGGGGAGUGAAAUAGAACCUGAAACCGUGUGCCUACAACCGCUCAGAGCCCCUUAUGAGGGUGAUGAGGUGCUUUUUGUAGAACGAGCCAACGAGUUACGGUAUGUAGCAAGGUUAAGUACUUAAGGUACGGAGCCGAAGGGAAACCGAGUCUGAAUAGGGCGACUAGUUGCAUGCCGUAGACCCGAAACCGGGUGACCUAUCCAUGGCCAGGUUGAAGCGAGGGUAAAACCUCGUGGAGGACCGAACCACGUUGCUGUUGAAAAAGCAUGGGAUGAGCUGUGGAUAGCGGAGAAAUUCCAAUCGAACCCGGAGAUAGCUGGUUCUCUCCGAAAUAGCUUUAGGGCUAGCGUCGAGUAUGAGUAGUGGAGGUAGAGCACUGAAUGGGCUAGGGGGCAUAGCGCUUACCGAACCUUAUCAAACUCCGAAUGCCACAUACUUUGAGCUCGGCAGUCAGACUACGAAUGAUAAGAUCCGUGGUCAAAAGGGAAACAGCCCAGAUCGUCAGCUAAGGUCCCAAAGUGUAAGUUAAGUGGGAAAGGAUGUGAGAUUUCUAAGACAACUAGGAUGUUGGCUUAGAAGCAGCCAUUCAUUAAAAGAGUGCGUAAUAGCUCACUAGUCGAGAGAUCUUGCGCCGAAAAUGUAACGGGGCUAAACUUACCACCGAAGCUACGGGCUUGAACUUAGUUCAAGCGGUAGGAGAGCGUCGUAACCGGGCUGAAGUCGUACCGUAAGGAGCGGUGGACUGGUUACGAGUGAGAAUGUUGGCAUCAGUAGCGAGAUGUGGGUGAGAAUCCCACAGGCCGAAAACCUAAGGUUUCCUCAGGAAGGUUCGUCCGCUGAGGGUUAGUCGGGACCUAAGCCGAGGCCGAAAGGCGUAGGUGAUGGACAACUGGUUGAUAUUCCAGUACCACUACCAUCGUUAUUAUCGAUGGCGUGACGCAGGAGGAUAGUGUGUGCUAGCUAUUGGAUGCUAGUCUAAGCGUUUAGGCAGUGAGAGUAGGCAAAUCCGCUCUCAUAAUGCUGAGUCGUGAUGGGGAAGGUUCUACGGAACCGAAGUACAUGAUUCCACGCUGCCAAGAAAAGCGUCUAGAGAGAGAAGUAGUGCCCGUACCGCAAACCGACACAGGUAGGUGAGGAGAGAAUCCUAAGGCCGGCGGAAGAAUUACAGUUAAGGAACUCGGCAAAUUGACCCCGUAAGUUCGCGAGAAGGGGUGCCUAUGAGAGUAGGCCGCAGAGAAUAGGCCCAAGCAACUGUUUAGCAAAAACACAGGUCUCUGCUAAAGCGUAAGCUGAUGUAUAGGGGCUGACGCCUGCCCGGUGCUGGAAGGUUAAGGGGAACACUUAGCGCAAGCGAAGGUGUGAACUUAAGCCCCAGUAAACGGCGGCCGUAACUAUAACGGUCCUAAGGUAGCGAAAUUCCUUGUCAGGUAAGUUCUGACCCGCACGAAUGGCGUAAUGACUUGGGCACUGUCUCAACUGUAAAUCCGGCGAAGUUGUAGUGCGAGUGAAGAUGCUCGCUACCCGCGAUUGGACGGAAAGACCCCGUAGAGCUUUACUGUAGCUUAGCAUUGAGUUUUGGUAUUGUCUGUACAGGAUAGGUGGGAGACUAGGAAACCAGGGCGUCAGCCUUGGUGGAGUCAACCUUGGGAUACCACCCUGACAGUACUGAAAUUCUAACUGGCGGCCAUGAAUCUGGUCACAGGACAUUGUUAGGUGGGCAGUUUGACUGGGGCGGUCGCCUCCUAAAAAGUAACGGAGGCGCCCAAAGGUUCCCUCAGAACGGUCGGAAAUCGUUCGAAGAGUGCAAAGGCAGAAGGGAGCCUGACUGCGACACCCACAAGUGGAGCAGGGACGAAAGUCGGGCUUAGUGAUCCGGUGGUACCUCGUGGGAGGGCCAUCGCUCAACGGAUAAAAGCUACCUCGGGGAUAACAGGCUGAUCUCCCCCAAGAGUCCACAUCGACGGGGAGGUUUGGCACCUCGAUGUCGGCUCGUCGCAUCCUGGGGCUGAAGUAGGUCCCAAGGGUUGGGCUGUUCGCCCAUUAAAGCGGCACGCGAGCUGGGUUCAGAACGUCGUGAGACAGUUCGGUCCCUAUCCGUCGCGGGCGUAGGAAAUUUGAGAGGAGCUGUCCUUAGUACGAGAGGACCGGGAUGGACUGACCUCUGGUGUACCAGUUGUUCCGCCAGGAGCACAGCUGGGUAGCUAAGUCGGGAAUGGAUAAACGCUGAAAGCAUCUAAGCGUGAAGCCAACCUCAAGAUGAGAUUUCCCAUAGCGUAAGCUAGUAAGAUCCCUUGAAGAACACAAGGUUGAUAGGUCGGGGGUGUAAGCAUGGUAACAUGUUCAGCUGACCGAUACUAAUAGAUCGAGGGCUUGACCAA